CCUACGGGAGGCAGCAGUGGGGAAUAUUGCACAAUGGGGGAAACCCUGAUGCAGCGACGCCGCGUGAGUGAAGAAGGAUUUCGGGAGGUAAAGCUCUAUCAGCAGGGAAGAAGCAAGACGGUACCGGACGAAGAAGCCCCGGCUAACUACGUGCCAGCAGCCGCGGUAAUACGUAAGGGGCAAGCGUUAGCCGGAUUGACUGGGUGGAAAGGGAGCGUAGACGGUAUGGCAAGUCUGAAGUGACAGCCCAGGGCUUAACCCUGGGACUGCUUUGGAAACUGUUAGACUAGAGUGCUGGAGUGGUAAUUGGCAUUCCUCGUGUAGCGGUGACAUGCGUAGAUAUUCGGCGGAACCCCAGUGGCGAAGGCGGCUUACUGGACCGUACCUGACGUUGCGGCUCGACAGCGUGGGGCGCAAACAGGAUUAGAUCCCCUAGUAGUC
rnacentral:rRNA from 1 species